UCCCUCUCAUUGUAGCACCUGGAGAGGUUCCAGUCCUCAACCAGUAUCAACUAAGGGAGGGAGAAUUAAGCAGAGGCAUACCCAUUCCAUUCCCAGUUUGGGCAGUGGCUAGCGAGUGGAAGACAAUCUGCUACAAGU